rnacentral:rRNA from 1 species
CCUACGGGGGGCUGCAGUCGAGAAUCAUUCACAAUGGGGGAAACCCUGAUGGUGCGACGCCACGUGGGGGAAUGAAGGUCUUCGGAUUGUAAACCCCUGUCAUGUGGGAGCAAAUUAAAAAGAUAGUACCACAAGAGGAAGAGACGGCUAACUCUGUGCCAGCAGCCGCGGUAAUACAGAGGUCUCAAGCGUUGUUCGGAAUCACUGGGCGUAAAGCGUGCGUAGGCUGUUUCGUAAGUCGUGUGUGAAAGGCGCGGACUCAACCCGCGGACGGCACAUGAUACUGCGAGACUAGAGUAAUGGAGGGGGAACCGGAAUUCUCGGUGUAGCAGUGAAAUGCGUAGAUAUCGAGAGGAACACUCGUGGCGAAGGCGGGUUCCUGGACAUUAACUGACGCUGAGGCACGAAGGCCAGGGGAGCGAAAGGGAUUAGAUACCCGGGUAGUC